rnacentral:rRNA from 1 species
CAGUCGCCACGGGAAUACGUAGGUGGCAAGCGUUGUCCGGAAUUAUUGGGCGUAAAGGGCUCGCAGGCGGUUUCUUAAGUCUGAUGUGAAAGCCCCCGGCUCAACCGGGGAGGGUCAUUGGAAACUGGGAAACUUGAGUGCAGAAGAGGAGAGUGGAAUUCCACGUGUAGCAGUGAAAUGCGUAGAGAUGUGGAGGAACACCAGUGGCGAAGGCGACUCUCUGGUCUGUAACUGACGCUGAGGAGCGAAAGCGUGGGGAGCGAACAGGAUUAGAUACCCCCGUAGUCCCUGUCUCUUAUAC